rnacentral:rRNA from 1 species
CCUACGGGAGGCAGCAGUGGGGAAUAUUGCACAAUGGGCGCAAGCCUGAUGCAGCGACGCCGCGUGAGGGAUGACGGCCUUCGGGUUGUAAACCUCUUUCAGUAGGGAAGAAGCGAGAGUGACGGUACCUGCAGAAGAAGCGCCGGCUAACUACGUGCCAGCAGCCGCGGUAAUACGUAGGGCGCAAGCGUUAUCCGGAUUUAUUGGGCGUAAAGAGCUCGUAGGCGGUUUGUCGCGUCUGCCGUGAAAGUCCGAGGCUCAACCUCGGAUCUGCGGUGGGUACGGGCAGACUAGAGUGAUGUAGGGGAGACUGGAAUUCCUGGUGUAGCGGUGAAAUGCGCAGAUAUCAGGAGGAACACCGAUGGCCGAAGGCAGGUCUCUGGGCAUUUACUGACGCUGAGGAGCGAAAGCAUGGGGAGCGAACAGGAUUAGAUACCCUGGUAGUCCAUGCGUAACGUAGGUCGACUAGUGUGGGAGAUCUACGUUCGUCGCGUGC